UACGUAGGAGACGAGCGUUGUCCGGAGUUACUGGGCGUAAAGGGUGCGCAGGUGGCGGCGCGCGUGGGGGGUGAAAUCGCCCGGCUUAACUGGGCGGGGGCCUUCCAGACGGCGUGGCUUGAGCAGCGGAGGGGGACGUGGAAUUCCGGGUGGAGCGGUGAAAUGCGUAGAUAUGUGAGGAACACCGAUGGCGAAGGCAGCCCCCUGGGUCAAGACUGACGCUCAUGCACGAAAGCGUGGGGAGCAAACAGG
rnacentral:rRNA from 1 species